rnacentral:rRNA from 1 species
CCUACGGGUGGCAGCAGUGGGGAAUAUUGCACAAUGGGGGAAACCCUGAUGCAGCGACGCCGCGUGAGUGAAGAAGUAUUUCGGUAUGUAAAGCUCUUUCAGCAGGGAAGAAAAUGACGGUACCUGACCAAGAAGCCCCGGCUAACUACGUGCCAGCAGCGGCAGUAAUGCGUGGGGGGCAAGCGUUAUCCGGAUUUACUGGGUGUAAAGGGAGCGUAGACGGCAGGGCAAGUCUGGAGUGAAAGGCGGGGGCUCAACCCCCGGACUGCGCUGGAAACUGCCAGGCUGGAGUGCAGGAGAGGUAAGUGGAAUUCGUAGUGUAGCGGUGAAAUGCGUAGAUAUUAGGAGGAACACCAGUGGCGAAGGCGGCUUACUGGACUGUAACUGACGUUGAGGCUCGAAAGCGUGGGGAGCAAACAGGAUUAGAUACCCUGGUAGUC